GUUCCGUGGGCGCGUGGAAGGGAAGGGGAACCCCCUGUAGAAAAAGCACCAGUGACCCCCAAACGCUCCUUUUCCCGCCCGACGCGGUUGCGGCCGCCGCGCGGCGUCACCUCGUAGAUCCUGGUCACCCUCAUCCUCCUCCCGGUGCUGUUGGUUCCCUCCAGCGCCACGAUCUGCCCGAGAAGGCCCUGCAGCGAGUGGACGUCGUGGAGGCCCCGGUGGGGACGGUCCCUGCGCCGGGGGACGCGGCUGCUGCGCCGGGACAGGACCUGGGGACACGUGUUUAUCCGAUUUAAAAGCCCACGGUUGCGGCUCAAGAUCCCUGACUGAGGCGUCGCCCCCCGCCCCGCGGCGGCAGACAGGCACGGAAACACGGGGAAUUGGCCCCGAAAAGGCCGCGGGGAAGGGGGCGGCUCUUUGGCAAAGCGCAAAGGGACCCGGGACCCCCCGGCAGAAAAAACCUACAAAAAACAACAAAAAACCAACACAAAAGGGACAAAUCCGGCGUGGCGGGUGUUGGCGAAGGCACCGGCGGCUGCUCAGGCGAACAUGGUGAACUGGAGCCACUGCAGGACCAGGAGGAGGAAGGGUGAACCCCCAAAUCUCACGUUUGGCGAUGAUGCGGUUGAGGAUGGUCUGGAGCUCCGCCACGCUGAUCUCCAUGUCCUGGGGACACAAAUGGGGUUCACCCGCUGUCACCUGUGUCGCCUGCGUCACCCGCUGUCACCUGUG